UGUGAGCAAGAGCCCGGAGAUGGAUUCUGAGACACGAAUCCAGGCCCUACGGGGCGCAGCAGGCGCGAAAACUUUACAAUGCGAGAAAUCGUGAUAAGGGAACUCCGAGUGCCCGUAAAAUCGGGCUGUCCGCCAGUGUAAAUAACUGGUGAAGAAAGGGCCGGGCAAGACCGGUGCCAGCCGCCGCGGUAAUACCGGCGGCUCGAGUGGUGGCCACUAUUACUGGGCUUAAAGCGUUCGUAGCUGGUCUGUUAAGUCUCUGGGGAAAUCUUCCGGCUUAACCGGAAGGCGUCUCAGGGAUACUGGCAGACUAGGGACCGGAAGAGGUGAGAGGUACUCCAGGGGUAGGAGUGAAAUCCUGUAAUCCUUGGGGGACCACCUGUGGCGAAGGCGUCUCACCAGGACGGCUCCGACAGUGAGGAACGAAAGCUGGGGGAGCAAACCGGAUUAGAUACCCGGGUAGUCCCAGCUGUAAACGAUGCACGUUAGGUGUAUCGGUGACCACGAGUCACCGAGGUGCCGAAGAGAAAUCGUGAAACGUGCCGCCUGGGAAGUACGGUCGCAAGGCUGAAACUUAA
rnacentral:rRNA from 1 species